CCUACGGGAGGCUGCAGUGGGGAAUAUUGCGCAAUGGGCGAAAGCCUGACGCAGCGACGCCGCGUGAGUGAUGAAGGUCUUCGGAUCGUAAACCUCUGUCAGCAGGGAAGAACGGUCACUGUGCUAAUCAGCAGUGAAUUGACGGUACCUGCAAAGGAAGCGCCGGCUAACUCCGUGCAAGCAGCCGCGGUAAUACGGAGGGUGCGAGCGUUAAUCGGAAUUACUGGGCGUAAAGCGCUCGUAGGCGGUAUGUCAAGUCAAGGGUGAAAUCCCCGGGCUCAACGAGGGAACUGCCUUGGAAACUGGGAAACUGGAGUGUGUGAGAGGUUAGUGGAAUUCCAGGUGUAGGGGUGAAAUCCGUAGAUAUCUGGAGGAACAUCAGUGGCGAAGGCGACUAUCUGGAACAUAACUGACGCUGAGGAGCGAAAGCGUGGGUAGCAAACAGGAUUAGAUACCCUGGUAGUC
rnacentral:rRNA from 1 species